CUCGGCGGCUUCUCCUGAGGGGGGACUACUUGACGUGUCGGUGCGGCGAAUUUAUUUCCCUUUGCCUAAGGAACGGGCUGUGCUGCGGCCCCCAUUGCCUAGGGAAAAAGCCCGGAUGUAAAGAUGAAGAACAAAAACCAACCGCGGCGAGUCAGAAACUUUGGUGGGCAGGUCGAGAGCAGGGAAGUUGGCACGCCGGGGGUUAGGAGGUCCGUGCCGCACUCGCUGGCGUGCGGAUCGAACGGACGUGACUCGGGCGGCCCGGGCCCGCCGGGGCCCCCGUUCCCUGCCGCCGCCCCGGGAGCUGCUGCGGGCCGCUCAGUCCGGGCAGGGUCAGUCCUUAUCUGCAGUACGCUAGCUUAAGUUACAGGCAUGCCCCUGUGCGUCUCCGGCUUCUGAAGUCUCCAGAGUCUCAGAAAUACUUAAAGCCUCGCGUUUCUGUCGGAGCUACCAUUGCUAAAAGCAGUGGGACAUGUUCUGGACGGCGCGGGAUUUGUAUGAGCUCUCACGAAAAGCCGGGAUUUGAUGCAAUGCAAAACUGAUUUUUUUUUUUUUAUAUAUAUAGCCUCUUAUAUCACUUUAUUUCUUCGAAAUGCUCACAAGUUGUGAAGAAAAGUGUUUGCGUUGUCUCUGUAAAUGCUUCAGGAAGCCACGAUGAACUCUUUAUUACAUUGUGAAACUAAAUCCACAAUGCAGUCAUGAUGAGUAACUCGGGGACGAGUCGUAAUGGGGCAGAAACGGACAGUUUUAUCAUCUGGAGGAUUCUAGAGGGCUCAGCAUGAGUGAGAACGUACAGCGAGGUUUCCUCUCAACUGUGAAAAAAAGAGAUAUAUACGCCAUUGUUUAUUUAAUUACUAUUAAUUUUCCACUUCUUUUCCAUCAAUUGGUUGCAAGUUCUGUGUGAUUUAAUUGGAAACUUUACAACAUUUAGUGCCCUUCUUAAAGCUGUAGCUCCUGGACUCAUACAAUUAUGCAAGAAACUUAGCCUUAUUUUUUUUAAAUGAAGUUUCUAGCCUGUGAGUUUGUGGAUGUGACCUUAAAGACACAAACUUUAAAUGCACACAAAGGAAAAGAUAUGAAGCAAAUAGAGUAAUCUAAAAAUGCUUUUAUUUUUUUAGUCAUGUUGUUUGGGUUUUUGUUUUUGAGGCAAUCUCUCCUACCCUGUUUUUUUGUCCUUUUUUCUUUUUUUUUUUUUUCUGCAAGCCAGGUAUGAUGUUAAACCAUAGGGUUGACAGAAUACUAAGAAAAGGAAAACACAGAAAUUAUAUCUGGGUCUCAUCAAAUAGUUACUGAUAGGUGCACAGUUCAUGGGAUAUCAGGUAAGGUCAUGUGCACAAGACCACCAAAAAUCCAGCAGCCAUCACAGUAGAACUUUCCAUGUAUCCAACUGUAACAAGAAGUGUUAUGGUUAGUAUAACUGAGAUAUUAGAUAUUACACCAUUUCUAAUAAAUAUAUAUUUGCUUUUU